rnacentral:rRNA from 1 species
AAAUUGAAGAGUUUGAUCAUGGCUCAGAUUGAACGCUGGCGGCAGGCCUAACACAUGCAAGUCGAGCGGAAACGAGUUAUCUGAACCUUCGGGGAACGAUAAUGGCGUCGAGCGGCGGACGGGUGAGUAAUGCCUAGGAAAUUGCCCUGAUGUGGGGGAUAACCAUUGGAAACGAUGGCUAAUACCGCAUGAUGCCUACGGGCCAAAGAGGGGG